UGGGGAAUAUUGCACAAUGGGCGCAAGCCUGAUGCAGCCAUGCCGCGUGUGUGAAGAAGGCCUUCGGGUUGUAAAGCACUUUCAGCGGGGAGGAAGGCGGUGAGGUUAAUAACCUCAUCGAUUGACGUUACCCGCAGAAGAAGCACCGGCUAACUCCGUGCCAGCAGCCGCGGUAAUACGGAGGGUGCAAGCGUUAAUCGGAAUUACUUGGCGUAAAGCGCACGCAGGCGGUCUGUCAAGUCGGAUGUGAAAUCCCCGGGCUCAACCUGGGAACUGCAUUCGAAACUGGCAGGCUAGAGUCUUGUAGAGGGGGGUAGAAUUACAGGUGUAGCGGUGAAAUGCGUAGAGAUCUGGAGGAAUACCGGUGGCGAAGGCGGCCACCUGGACAAAGACUGACGCUCAGGUGCGAAAGCGUGGGGAGCAAACAGG
rnacentral:rRNA from 1 species